CGCCUCGGCUCUCUGACGUCUACGCCUGUCACUUCCAGCUUGAAGGCACACCUGAGAAAGAGACGGAAACCAGAGCGACCCAAUAAAGAGGCGGACCCAGGAGUAGACGGUGAAACCAAGACGAAUGGGAAAAAGCCGCUCACCUAAGCCCCCAAACAGGGCCCUUUGUCCGGUGACGCUGCCAGUACCCGGAGCGCUAGAGGCCCCGUGGGUCCGCACUGCAGCGACGGGACUCCCGGAAACCCAUUGCGACCAUCCUCGGUUGUGCCGAGCCUCCCGCCAGCCCGGCCCAGCGGGUAGGAGACGCAGCAACGUGCCCCUGAAACCCACACACGGUGGGCGCGCGGAGAUGCCGGAACCUGCGCGGGCGCCAGCGAUUCUCACGCCAGUAGGCCUUCUGAUUCGGCUCAAGACGCGAGGCACGGGAUUCUCGGAGCGCGAGCGAAGUGCGCGACAACAGGGCGAGGCUCCAGCCGCUGUCUGCUUCACCGUCUGGUCCGGUUUGACCCGCUAGUCGCGAACAGCCGCUUGAAGUUCCCGACCAACGCGUCCCCUUCCGCUUACUCCGGCCGCAGAGUUGGAGCCAUUUUAAGGCGAAACCCCCAGCCACGCCCCUUCGGGCUCCGGAGAAGCCAAUCCAGGCUCAGCCACGCCCCGUGCGACUCGCGGCCGCGACGC